GGUCUUCAGGAUGACUCUCAGUGCAGGAGAGAACCCGAAUGUUCUGCUCCCAGAGUGCACGCAGCCUUUUCCCCAUCCUCCUCCCCAACUCCCCUCACCCAAGCUGGGGACCAGGCAGGCAAGCAGAGGGAUUUGGGACCCAGCCAGAGGGCAGGGGCAGGCUGAAGACCCAGCCAAGGGGCAGGGGCAGGCUGGAGAGGGCUGCAGGUGAGGGAAAGAUCCUCUGGCCGAGCUGGUUGGAUGGGCUUCUCCCACCGGGAGCAAGGGAGAAGGUGGGGCAGAGGAGGAGUCGUGGGCUAGGACAAGCCGGUGGGGAAGAGACAAGGGAAAGGAACUAAAGACCCAAUGUAGAGGGAGGAAGCAAAAGGGCAAAGAGGAAAGGCUGGACAGAGCCAAACCAGAAAGGGACACCGAGGCGCGAAAGGAGAGUGAUCCCAGCAGGAGGGACGGCAAAGAUUGAAGAGAGCGACCAGCCCGAGAGACAGGGUCUCACUCUAUCGCUCAGGCUGAAGUGCAGUGGCGGAUCAGGCUCACUGCAACCUCAACCUCCUGGGCUCAAGUGAUCCUCCCACCUCAGCCUCCCAAAGUGGUGGGAUUACAGGCCUGAGCCACGGCAACUUGCCUCUUCCUAUAUUUUCUUUUACGCUUAAAUAAAUUACUUAAACAUA